GCGGGCGUAGCUCAGUUGGUUAGAGCGCCAGGUUGUGGUUCUGGAGGUCGCGAGUUCGAUUCUCGUCGCUCGCCCCA
rnacentral:tRNA from 1 species